GGGAAUGGGGGAAUGAGGGGAUGAGGGAAUGAGAGGCAUGAAGGAAUGGGGGAAUGAGGGGAUGAGGAGCAAGGGGGAUGAUAGGGACGAGGGAAUGGCGGGAUGCCGGGAACGAAAGGGAUGAGGGCGAUAAGGGGAUACGAGGGGAUAGAGGGAAUGAGAGGAGCGGAGGAAAAGAGGGGGAUGAGGGAAUGAAGGAGCAAGGGGGAUGAAGCCUGAGGGGGCUGCAGGGUUGAGGGGGACAAGCGGGGUGUGGUCCGGAGGUGAGGGUGGCAGAGAUGCAGCGGGGCUGGAGGGGAUGAGGGAUGAGGGGCUGAGAGCCAUGAGGGAGGGACGGGGCGGAGGUGCCUGCGGGGUGUGAAGGCCCUGCGGGCGAUGAGGGACCCUGGGGGCUGCAGCCACCCACCCCAGCCUGGUGAGAGGUGCUGGUGCCUGGCCAGCCCGGGAGGAGCCAGCGCUUCGUGCGUCCAGCCCCGGUUGUUUUUACACAAAGACCUGGGCAAUAACAGGCGUAGUCACCUUCCUGUCCCCGCUGUACAAAUAUAUCAUGCUGCUCCUUGAGGAGGAGGUAGUGUGGAUUUAACAUGGCACGGAGGUCACCUGAGCACUUCCUAGGCCAUUUCCAGGAGGUGUCAGCAUGUUUUCCAAUGUUCCUUCCAUUACCCAGCUGUGCCAUUUCGGUAAUUGCCUGUAGGUCUGAGAAUUUGGGAAGAGCCUUGAAGCUGCUAUGCAAAUGGCUGUUGGAAUUAUUUUUAAAUUAAAGAGUCUAUUGAACCAUACAUUUUCCAAUGGUAAAGUCUUGCCUGGCACAGCUAGGCAGUCCAAGGUAGUGUGUGCAGAAUGCACUACAACACGAUAGACAUAAAAUAUUUGUUUUUACCUAUUUAGCUAUACACUGCUGUUUUAAAUAGGUCUAGAAUUGUUGUGUGUGUAGUAAACCACAGCUUCCCCACAAGUCUGGAGACCACACUACUCAGGAAACCUUCUGUAUGCAAAUGGAGACUUAGUAGUCAAAAUCCUCUCCCCUCAUAGAACUUGAAAAGGAGGAAUGAAGUAACCUGUUGAAGACUGUGGUAACUGCUGGGCUGGUGAAUGGAGAUGAAUUUUUGCAACUUGUAUUCUGUGCCUUCGACUGUUUGAGCUCUUGGGCCCUGUGACUGUGCUGAAAGUUCAAAAAGAAAUAAACUGAGAGGUACACAAACAGCAUUCAACUUUCAUGAAGGUUUUCAUUCCACUCCAGUGGCAAAUGUUUCCAAUCAGCACUGAAGGAAGUACAGUCAAAAUGCAGCAGUUGUUGCCACCUUCUGUUUCUAGCAAUUUUUCUUACCUU